CUGGCAAAAUAGAAUUUACAGGAUAAAUCAGGUUUGUUUGGACCUCCUCAGUGGAGGCUCUGUCGAACCCCUGAGACCGACUCACCUAACCCCUAGGGUUCGAUCGAACCCAGGUUAAGAACCACUACUACAUAGCCAGUUGCA